ACAGUACGAACUGAGCAGGCGAUGAACCGUCAAGGUCAUGGGGCCGGGCCGCGUCAAGCGGCAGCAGAGUGCGUCAAGCGCAUCUGUGGGACAGU
rnacentral:ncRNA from 1 species